GAUGAACGCUAGCGGCAGGCCUAAUACAUGCAAGUCGAACGGGAUCUAUUGUGUAGCUUGCUACACUUUAGUGAGAGUGGCGCACGGGUGCGUAACGCGUGAGCAACCUACCCAUAACUGGGGGAUAGCCCGGCGAAAGUCGGAUUAACACCGCAUAACACAGCAAUUCCGCAUGGGAUCACUGUUAAAUAUUUAUAGGAUAUGGAUGGGCUCGCGUGACAUUAGCUAGUUGGUAAGGUAACGGCUUACCAAGGCUAUGAUGUCUAGGGGCUCUGUGAGGAGAAUCCCCCACACUGGUACUGAGACACGGACCAGACUCCUACGGGAGGCAGCAGUAAGGAAUAUUGGUCAAUGGACGGAAGUCUGAACCAGCCAUGCCGCGUGCAGGAUGACUGCCCUAUGGGUUGUAAACUGCUUUUAUACGGGAACAAACCCCUAUACGUGUAUAGG
rnacentral:rRNA from 1 species